UACGGAGGGUGCAAACGUUGCUCGGAAUCAUUGGGCGUAAAGCGCACGUAGGCGGUCCGUUAAGUCGGAUGUGAAAGCCCCGGGCUCAACCCGGGAAGUGCAUACGAAACUGGCGGACUUGAAUAUGGAAGAGGGUCGCGGAAUUCCCGGUGUAGAGGUGAAAUUCGUAGAUAUUGGGAAGAACACCGGUGGCGAAGGCGGCGCUCUGGACCGAGACUGACGCUGAGGCGCGAAAGCGUGGGGAGCAAACAGG
rnacentral:rRNA from 1 species